GACGAACGCUGGCGGCGUGCUUAACACAUGCAAGUCGAACGGAAAGGCCCUGCUUUUGUGGGGUGCUCGAGUGGCGAACGGGUGAGUAACACGUGAGUAACCUGCCCUUGACUUUGGGAUAACUUCAGGAAACUGGGGCUAAUACCGGAUAGGAGCUCCUGCUGCAUGGUGGGGGUUGGAAAGUUUCGGCGGUUGGGGAUGGACUCGCGGCUUAUCAGCUUGUUGGUGGGGUAGUGGCUUACCAAGGCUUUGACGGGUAGCCGGCCUGAGAGGGUGACCGGCCAAAUUGGGACUGAAAUGCGGCCCAGACUCCUACGGGAGGCAGCAGUGGGGAAUAUUGCACAAUGGGCGGAAGGAUGAUGCAGCAAAGCCGCGUGGGGGGUGACGGCCUUCCGGUUGUAAACCGCUUUCGCCUGUGACGAAGCGUGAGUGACGGUAAUGGGUAAAGAAGCACCGGCUAACUACGUG
rnacentral:rRNA from 1 species